AUACGUAGGUGGCAAGCGUUAUCCGGAAUUAUUGGGCGUAAAGAGUGAGCAGGCGGUUAAUUAAGUCUGAGGUUAAAGCGUGGGGCCCAACCCCAUAAAGCCUUGGAAACUGAUUGACUAGAGGACGGGAGAAGUGAAGGGAACUCCAUUUGUAGCGGUGAAAUGCGUAGAUAUAUGGAAGAACACCAGUGGCGAAGGCGCUUCACUAGCCCGAAACUGACGCUCAGUCACGAAAGCGUGGGUAGCAAAUAGGAUUAGAUACCCUAGUAGUCCACGCUGUAAACGAUGACAACUAAAUAUUGCCGCGAGGCAGUGUUGAAGCUAACGCAUUAAGUUGUCCGCCUGGGGAGUACGGUCGCAAGACUGAAACUUAAAGGAAUUGACGGGG
rnacentral:rRNA from 1 species